UAAAACGGAAGAUGAUUAAGUGCAUUUAUACUCAAAGAUUCUGAGAAAUUGACUCAUCUGAUAUGCUAUGGGAAGGAAUUUAAGGGUAUGUCCCCAAAACCUGUGUUCUGACCAUCAAUCAAAAGCUCUGCUUCUUAUGCUCUGUCCCUCUUGAUCAGUGAGAAAGGAGAGUCAAGAGUGGAUAAUGGAAUUGGCUGGGGACCUGGCUGCAAGUCGCAGCAACGGCGUUCACAAAUAAAAGGCAGCAUCUGGAAAUUAAACCUGCACAGUUGGGCCAAAGAAGCUUCUGAAAUUUUGACUUUUGCCAGCUUUUGAAGGAGAGAGGAAUAUGGAACAAGCAACCUCCUCCUCCUGAGUUUUGAGUCUGGCAAUCUGAUCCAGCUGCAGACUGUCUUCAGGGGCCCAGGGACUGUGACCUUAGCUGUUCUAGGGAGUCUGUGUAGGAAACAGGUCCCCAGAACCACACUGACCCACUAGCUGACAGAAUCUUGCACAGCACUCCAGGUUUGCCAUGGACAAAGGCUUCCCUCACUGCAGAAGCUACUUGGGACAUCGAGGUAGGGCAGCAGCUACCAUUCAGUGUGGCAUCUGUUGUGCAAUGUGGCUGCUUAUGAGCUUAGAAAUCCUGUAAUGAAAUGUAUUUCAGUAUGGCAAGAUGCUGUUACUUUUCUCUGGUUUAGUGCAAAUUAGAGAGAACUCAGCUGUGGCUAAACACUUAACUGCUUUUUACUGUGUUUUCAACACAGUCCUUUUAUGUGUAUGUACAUCUCGCCUGCAAACAUUCCUACACACUCAACAACAGAUGCAUUGAGGAUAAUUCUGCCAAUUACAAAGCUACUAGGAGUGCUGUAGUUGAACUCUGAGUAUAGAGCAGCCAGCUGUAGUAGACAACAACAAUUUUUGACACAGCCGGUCGCAGCUGACAUUUCUGGUUUUGAUCCACUGAGUCAUCUGAAUCCUGUAAGAACACUCAUCAUGGAAAUAGUCUGAAACAGAGAAAUAGUCUGAGCUCUUCUGCAGAAUAUGUUCUUGACCCAAUCUGCAAUGUUAAGCAAGGGCUCUGAUGGCUGCAUAUAUUCUCUUCGCUCAUAAGUAAUAGGGGUGCACUGCUUACUGGUACUAGUCCUUGUGGUCACAGUGGGGUUGUCACUGUUUUAUUAGUUACUUUUGCACUUUCUGAUGUUCCUGUAAAAUAACAUUCUGUUUCGGGAGAAGUGCCUGUCAAGGAAGCAGGGAGAAGGUGGAUGACAUGAUGAGUGGCUUCCAACACUUUGUUUAUGUCUCCACGGGGUGGAAGCAUUUUGUUAACUCUGCACUCUCAAUGUGGAUCAGUCACUGCUGCCAACAUAAAUAAUUUCAAAUAUUUCACUGAGAAUUGCUGCAAAGCUGCAGGAGAUUUUCUGCCUAUAUGACUGAGAUUGUCUCCUUUGAUUUCAACUUGAUUUAAUUUUGUAGAAGGAGAAGCAAAUACAGUAUGAGUGUUAGUGCAGCCCUCCAACUUGCAUUAUUGAUACUUCCAAAGUGUCCAGUUCAAAUGGGGGCAGAAUGUUAACAGAACUGAGAGUAUCAGUCUAGUGGCUGAAGGACAAAAAUAAGCUGCCUUUUUGAUCUUUGCUGGUCAACAAAAGCAUGUUUUGCUAGCUCCAGAAGUCUUUCAUGUGACAGAAAAUGGACAGAGAUGAAAAACCAUGUCUGAUCUAACACUUUGGCAAGCUUUAUUUUCUUACACCCACAGGAGAAGAUUUCUGGCCUUUCAAAAAAUGGACAGAAGUAAAUCAGAAGUCCCUUUCUGCAAUGUAGAAAGUCACUGUUAAAGUUUAUUCUGUGUAUAAAACAUGCUCUGUAUGCAGAAUUAUCAUCCUUAAAACCCUGCCCUCCAUUGAAAUAAGAUUGGUCAGAAAACCAGAGCCUCUGGGCAUAAACCAGACCCUCAGUUCUCAAAAUGGAUCACAGUGUAAGAUUUAGAAAAAAUAUUUACUAUACUUGUCAUCACUUUUCUGGCAUAUUUUUUUUGGAGAAGAUGGAUCAGGCAGAGCUAGAAGCCUGAUAAA